UCGAAUCCUCAAACGAAAACCUGCGAACACGUUUUAAAAUUUGCGUUGGGUGUCGGGGUAAAACCUGCACCCCUCGCCACCUGCCCGUCCGAACGACGACCACACCGGUCUGUCGGUUGUGUCGGGCAACCGAAACAAAAACCGGCGCGGGAAGCGCCAAGGACUUUACGAAAUGGGAUGCCUUCCUGCGGAGAGGGGCCGUUCGCGGAUUCCUCGCCGUGGGGCUCGAUAGGCGCCUCCGAACGAAACAU
rnacentral:misc_RNA from 1 species